UACGUAGGUGGCAAGCGUUGUCCGGAUUUACUGGGCGUAAAGAGCGCGCAGGCGGCCGAGUAAGUCGAAUGUGAAAGCCCCCGGCUCAACUGGGGAAGGUCAUUCGAUACUGUUCGGCUUGAAGAUAGGAGAGGGAAGCGGAAUUUCAGGUGUAGUGGUGAAAUGCGUAGAUAUCUGAAGGAACACCAGUGGCGAAGGCGGCUUUCUGGUCUGUUCUUGACGCUGAGGCGCGAAAGCUAGGGUAGCAAACGGG
rnacentral:rRNA from 1 species